CGGGCACUUCCUGUGUCAUGGCGUACUGUGGGCUUCAUCGGUGUUGCAGAGAGUCCCUGCUGACUAGACCGGGUUUUGUGUACUAUCGCCUGGCUGCGCGCUGCAUUCAAAGGCUCCCGGGAGACCCUAAAGCCACACAAUGGUGUCCAGGCUGACAAGCAGCUGGUGGAGCCUUGGAGUCGCUUGGUGCAGCCUGGGGCAUCCCUGAAACUCUCCUGCAUGAAUUCAGGAUUCACUGUCAGAAGCUGUGCCAUAAGCUGGAUCCAAAGGCCCCAGGGAAGGGCCUAGAGUGGAUCUCAUACAUAAGUACUGGUGGUAGCACAUACUAUGCAGACUCUGUGAAGGGCGGAUUCACCAUCUCCAGAGACAACGGCAAGAACACGCUAUAUCCGUAGAUGAGCAGCCUGAAACAGGAGAACACAGCCCUGUUACAGUGUCCAUGACACACAGUGAAGGAACAUUUGUGUGAGCCCAGAAAAAACCUCCUGGAAGCAGCGCUUAUGCCCAGCAGAAGUCGCUGUAAGACGACAGAAUCACUUGCGGGCCCCAGAAGCAGGAGCUGAGAAGAAAGCAGAGGAGGGAGAUCUUCCUGGGGACUCUAGGGUUCUCUUCUGUUUUAACGUUUUAGGUCCUGAACCAACCCACAUUGAAGUACCCAAGUUCAAGGAAAAAUUCUCUGUUAAAUGUAAUUGCAUGAGUACAUAAGAAACACUGAUUAUUUCAUUUUCUGUGUAUAAAUUGUACUUACGGGUAAACAAAACUUGCACCCA